AGGGGAUGCAAACCCUUCUGCCCCUUUUUGCUACCCCUGAAGCUUACUGUUAGUGGUCGAGUUUUUCUGGAAGUGGGCUUCCGCGAUCGCGGGGACCAACGCCCUGAGCUCUUGUGCCCAAAGGGGAUCGCCAGGUUUUUUGAUGCGGAUCGAAAGGGACUGGCCCCGGAGCCUACAACCUGACGCAGGUGGGACUUGGGGAAAUGUCGAGAAACCUAGGUCUGGGACUUGAGUUGGCUUCCAGGGCACACAUUCUUGUUCAGAAGAAACACAUUGCAAAAAUCGGGAGGUGACGGGCAGAUGAAGUGUCGGCGCUUCGCCUCGGGACUCCAGUGCAACCUAUGGGGCUUUUGGAAAUGAGGAAGUCGAUGACUCUGCAGGGACUCCUCUGACCCAGGAGCAGAUGGCGCUCGUCUGGGCACUCCCCAGGAGAAAAGGUGCAUCGGGAAGCAGCCUGGCUUGUGGAUGGUGGACAAGGUGGAGGAGAGAGAAUUCCUUGGCAGUAGCAUUAUGAACAAAUGCAGGGCUGAGAAACAGCAUGGUGGCCUUGACUAAGUUUAUGGCGACAGCAGAUGGAGUCUUGCUCUGUCGCCCAGGCUAGAGUGCAGUGGCGCGAUCUCAGCUCACUGAAACCUCUGCCUCCCGGGUUCAAGUGAUUCUCCUGCCUCCGCCACGCGAUGCCUCUUCAUGGGUGGUGGAUGAAGAAACUGAACAGGGCCAUGAUCCUUAUCUGUAAUUUCCCGGCUACCACACUGCUUUGGUGGUCUUCCCUCGUCUCUUCCUGGGUAGAAACAACUACCUGGAGAUCCCAAUGUUCUUGUCAGUGCACUUUUCAUGGACUGCAGUGGUAAGACGAUGUGUUGGAUGCCCAAACACAAACCAAGUAAGUCCUGGAUUUAAAAAGGAAGGGCUAAAUGUCAUUACUAACCUGAGCCUCAGUGCUCCCUCCCCUCAUUUCCCUCACAACUACUUCUUCCUGCUGACAUCCACCAAACUUUACUAUGUGACCUUUAGAACUGGGGGACUCUGAAACCAGAGAGAGCCCUGAAAAGAACUUAUACCCCUCUCUCUCUCUCUCUUUAGCCUACUUCAUACUGGGUGGAAUUUUUAUGAUUAGCGCCCUUCUCUCAUUCUGCUUGAACUUUUUGUUGCUGACCUUCCCUCAGUUAUUCCCUGAGACCCAGAAACAGUAUAUUUUCUGUGCAUCCAUCUGCAUUGUCACAGGAGCCCUCUACCUUCGCAAUUCCCGGUGCUGUGGAGCUGUCAGAGUUUUAACAUCUCAACCAAGCCACAUGGAUACUAUUUCCUCAGAAAAGACAAAAUUGAUCCAAGCAGAAGAGUGAACUCACCGAAGAGGACUCUCUACCCAUAACUGGGGAUGCCUCAGCCACUCACACUUACUCCAAGAUUAGUGUCACUGAUUAUGGAAAGAAUUGACUUCUUCCCCUGGUCUUGCUCAUUUUUCUAGAGCCCAGGACAAUAAAUGUGUUUUACGGCAGAGAAAAGUGAAGACGGGUGGAAUUGUGUGUGUUGAGAGAGAAGCAGAUAGGCAAUCUUACGCUUUGGCUCCUAGAUUAUGCAGGUGCCUCUUUUCUAUCAUCUCCAUAAAUCCUACCCUUACUGCGCUUCCUAUUCUGCAGGGGUAUUUUGUUGUCCGUAACAGAACUCCUCCUCUGUCUGUAAAGUUUAGGUUUUGAUAAAAAAUCCUCUUCCCUCCAGAAGCGUCUACUAAAAAUACAAAAAAAUUAGCUGGGUGUGGUGGCAUCCACCUGUAGUCCCAGUUACUCAGGAGACUGAGGCAGGAGAAUCGCUUGAAACUGGGAGGCGGAGGUCGCAGUGAGCCAAGAUCAUGCCACCGCACUCCAGCCUGGGUGAGAGUGAUACUCCGUCUCAAAAAACAAAUGAACAAUAAAAAACAAACAAAAAA
rnacentral:lncRNA from 1 species